rnacentral:rRNA from 1 species
AGUGAACGCUGGCGGUAGGCCUAACACAUGCAAGUCGAACGGCAGCACAGUAAGAGCUUGCUCUUACGGGUGGCGAGUGGCGGACGGGUGAGGAAUACAUCGGAAUCUACUUUUUCGUGGGGGAUAACGUAGGGAAACUUACGCUAAUACCGCAUACGACCUACGGGUGAAAGCAGGGGAUCUUCGGACCUUGCGCGAUUGAAUGAGCCGAUGUCGGAUUAGCUAGUUGGCGGGGUAAAGGCCCACCAAGGCGACGAUCCGUAGCUGGUCUGAGAGGAUGAGCAGCCACACUGGGACUGAGACACGGUCCAGACUCCUACGGGAGGCAGCAGUGGGGAAUAUUGGACAAUGGGCGCAAGCCUGAUCCAGCCAUACCGCGUGGGUGAAGAAGGCCUUCGGGUUGUAAAGCCCUUUUGUUGGGAAAGAAAAGCAGCAGGUUAAUACCCCGCUGUUCUGACGGUACCCAAAGAAUAAGCACCGGCUAACUUCGUG